ensembl:lncRNA
GGUUGGUGGAGCUGUGCGGGAUGGAAUCAGGACAUUGUCUUUCGAAUCUGCAGUAGAACUCAUUCAGCUUGUCUGCCAGGCGGAGGUCAUUCAUGGAGUGGGGGGAUUUUGGCUUGUAGUUAGUGAGUUGAUUGAGGCCUCUCCAGACCGAAGCAGGGUCACUUGCUGAGAACUGUUGUUGGAGUUUCUCAGAGUACAGUCAUUUAGCAAGGCGGGGAGAGAUGGGAGAGAUGUCGUUUAGCAUCUCUCACCGCCUUGCUAAACUUGUAUUUUGCCUGUGUACAAGUCUUUGUCCCCACUCCUAAAUGCCUGAUCCUUCUGCAGGCGUAGUGUUCUGAGUUCCGCUGUGAACCAGGGUUUGUCAUUGUUGUAACUCAUCCUGGUGCAUGAUGGUACACAGCUGUCCUCACAGAAGCCGAUGUGGGAAGUUACAGCCUCUGUGAACUCAUCCAGACUGUCAGUAGCAGUCCUGAAACCAUCCCAGUCUGUGCAGUCAAAGCACGCCCAAAGAUCCUCCAGCGCCUCACUGGUCCACUUCUUGAAUUCCCUCACCACAGGUUUGCAGAGCUUUCGUUUCUGCCUGUAUGCAGGAAUCAGAUGGACCAUGACGUGGUCAGAGUGUCCCAGUGCAGCACGAGGGACGGCGUGAUAAGCCCUGCUUACUGUCAUGUAACAGUGAUCCAGCGUGUUCUCCUCUCUGGUGGGGCAUUUAAUAAACUGUCGUAUUUAGGUAGUUCAUGGGUGAGAUUUCCUUUGUUAAAGUCCCAGAGGACAAUAACUAAAGAGUCCGGGUUGGUCCGCUCCACACGCCGUAUCUGGUCGGCGAGUGUCCGCUGUGCCUCGUGCACGUUGCCCGCCGGCGGCAUGUAAACACCGACCAGGAUGAAUGAAGCGAACUCACGGGGGGAAUAAAAGGGUUUGCAGUUGAUGAAGAAAGUUUCCAGAUCAGGAGAACAGUGUUUUAGGGUCACCGUUACGUCGUUGCACCAGCUGUUGUUGAAGUAGAAGCAGAUUCCUCCACCCUUUGUCUUGCCGGAGAGCUCCGUGUCGCGGUCCGCUCGGAGCAGCUGGAAGCCCGCCAGCUGGAGCGCGGAGUCCGGUAUCGAUCCGCAGAGCCACGUCUCCGUGAAGCACAAGACGGAGGAUGUAGAGAAGUCUCUGUCUCUCCUCAUCAGCAGCUGAAUUUCGUCCAGUUUGUUGCACAGUGAGCGCACGUUGGAGAGAAAGAUGCCUGGCAGCGGAGUGCGAGAACCACGCCUGCGGAGUCUCACCAGCGAGCCGGCCCGUUUUCCUCGCCUACGGCGUCUCACCGCGUGACGAAAGGUGAGCGCACCUUUGACUAGAAUGUCCAGUAAUUCCACGGAAGAAAGCAGGAAAGUUGGAAGUAACUCCGCUGGAGUUGUUCAAGAGCUCAUCUCUGGUGAAAGAGCUCCGGGAAUCGCAGCAGCAAACGUAAUUAACAACAAAAACAACAAAAAACGAAGCGCACCGAAGCACCGAGGCGGCCUUCAACGGCGCCAUCUUGGAUCAUGAGGCAUCCCCGUCUAAUGAGAGUGAGACCCUCACUGUUGAACCUACUGUUGUCUCUCAACCACCAGCUAACCAUCUACCUUCCAAAAAUGGAAAGUUAUUAUGGUCCAUCUCCCCUGAACUGAACAACAGGGUAGACUUGGUGCUCCUAAUGUGAUCAAAAUGGUUCCAGGUCCCACCAGGUAUGCUGUCAGCCAUGUCCAUGACAUCAAAUCAGCAUUUGAGCUGUUCUUAACACCAUCGAUUGAAAAGGAUGUACGUAGGAUGACAAAUUUAGAGGGCAGGCGUGUAUACGGGGAAGGUUGGAAAGACUUGACUUGACUAGACUUGCAAGCCUACAUUGGGUUGCUCAUUUUGGGCAUCACCACAUACCACGUACGUGGUACAUGGCUGAAGGACUGAGCUAUUAAAACAUAAAAAAUGAUCUAGAGAGAUUUUAGUCUGAUCUGCAUAUUUCUCCAUAGUCGCUUAACAGGUAUUCCUGGAUGUUUAAGGGGGUGGGUGUCUUAAAAAAAUAAAAUAAAAUCACUAUUUAGGUAGUCAACAAAUAUGCAGUUUCCUAAUACAUAAACGUAGGAAAAACAAUUGAAUUAUGAUCAUUUUCUGUGUGUUUCAAUGGCUGGGGUCAAUGUUAAAAGAUGUUAGUAAAUUUCAAGGUAACAGGAGGGUUAAGAAAUGUAUAUAUAUAUAUAUAUAUAUAUAUAUAGAGAGAGAGAGAGAGAGAGAGAGAGAGAGAGAGAGAGAGAGAGAGAGAGAGAGAGAGAGAGAGAUAGCAACAUAGUUGAUAAUGCAUCGAUGUAUAGUUGACCGGGAAAUAUGAUUGAAAAUCCAUUGAUUUUUGGUUGACCGGGAGAUCAACGGGUGGUAAACCAACGACACAAGCUCAUUUCUGGACCCUUGGCACAAGCGUAGCUACAGGUAAGCUUGCUUAAUGUUCGAUAUGAAUGAAUCAAAUACCGUUAGGCUGAUCGUUGUAGUAUAAUGAUUAGUCUAGUAACCAACGCAGUGCUGCAGCUAACGUUAGUCAUGAAAUAGAUUUUUGUUUUACUAAUGUGUUAAAAUCUUCCAAAAGCAGGCUAGCCUACUUCGUGGUUCUCUUUACAGUUAGCAAAACCUCAGAGUCCAGUCUAUUUUUAUAGCUAGCUCAAAAUACACGUCACUCGGUACCCAUUGCUAAUAGUGUCGGGAAAUCUAUUUUACAGUCACCGCUAUUUCUUCUGCCCGCCGGAAAACACUAUAAUAACAGUAUGCUCCAUCUAGCGCUAACGGUAACGUCCAUCAAGCUAGCCUGUUGGCGGCGCCGUGCGCUCAAACCUUUGAGAAAUCAUGGCUGAUUAGCACUACGUAGCCACCACCAAGGGCACGAAGUCAUGUCGUGCAUGUUUGAGCUCUAACGUUAACGUUACCCCACAGAAGUGACCGCGGCGGGCCAGAAUUACACAAAAUACAUGACUUACCUUAUUAUUCAAUGCAGAACUGUCUCGAGUUGUAACUGGAAAAGCCAACCAUCUCGUCGUAAUACAAAUCCAAAAUAUUAAAAAUCCUCGAGCAGGGCUGCAUAUGCGUGGGAUACAGUUUUGUAACUCCUGUUUGUCGUUUUAUAGACAAGUUUACGAGCCGUUUCGUGGGCGCCAUUCCUCUACAGAAAUGCAUUUCACUUCUGCCGGUGGUUUUCCCAGCGUCUGCCGGUGUAAACAGCGAUGUCGAUGCUAGUUUGGGAACACGGAUCUACGUAUUUGACUGAGAUGGCGUUACUAUCCCGCACCCCAAUCCAGUGCAGAACUGGGAGGAUAACAUGACAUCGUGGCCCAGCAUUACGUACAGCGAGAUUUGCUCAUACUUCGUGCAAUCGAGCAAUGGACAGUCUGAAAGCCUCCGAGGCAGUUCAGUAUCUGACAGCAACAAAGCCGGUUGUGUCAUGUCAUACAAACAUGACCGUUUUGUAUAUCUAAAAACAAAAGUACAUGUUUGCUCAGUGUAUGUGUUAAUAUAUUGGGCUAAUUUUGUUAUAAUUGCACAAGAUAAUUGUUUAUAAAUACAUUUUAUAAUCUAAUAAUGUCAACAGUUAAUAACCAAAUUAAUGUUAAAAGAACGUUCAGGAUAUUUUUAAUAAUUGUUUUAAUGUUAAUGUUAAGGUUAAUCUUUUUCACACAAGCCCAUGUCAGAUUGAUGUGCCUCUGUGUCUACAGGAAAUACACAGAAAUUAAAUAUCAAGUCAAUUUUAUUCCUAACAGGUAUUAAAAAGUAAAAUACAAAAGCAGCCCACACAAUUACAUCACAAUGAAAAUAUUCAUAUAUUAAAAGAAAAUAAAAUGCAGUAUUUGUUUAUCUGUAUUUAAUGAACAAGAUGACUAGGUGUUGGCAAGGCUCUAAACCUCACGAGGCACUCUGAUCAGUGGACUCUUCAGGUUAACUAGGCCAGCAUAGAUGGUUAAGAUGUUGUGAUAAACUUAUCACUGCUUCUGCCAGCAUUAUCACUAUUAUCACUUUGGCCUAGCUACUGGAUUGAUGUCAAAACUGAAAUCUUUGAUCCUUCCUGCCAAUUUGACGACAAUUAAGCUGCAGUUCAGUAUAGAUGGUUUACGGCUUUUCCGAAGGAGCAGAACUCAGUUCUGGCCCAUUCUAGCUACCAUUAAUGUUGAUUACAGAAAAUCGCCAUUCCUUGUCGGCCUUUUCUGUGGCUUUACCAAACCAAAGAGUGUCUUUGAGUUCUUAGGUCCAUUUAUUGAGGACCUGAGUGGCAUUCUAAAAAAUGGCAUUGUUCACAAUAGGCAGCAGAUUAUGGCAGAAGUGUGCUCAUUUAUAUGCGAUGCCCCAGCAUGAGCUUUUAUUAAAAAUAUAAAAAGCCACAAUGGUUAUUCAGGCUGCGACAAGUGUUUUCAAGUGGGUGAAUGUCACAACAAAAUGACAUAUCCAGAAACAAAUGUUAGAUUGAGGACAGACACAGACUUCAACUCCAUGACCGAUGAUGAACACCACCAAAACCAAACACUAUCCCCACUAGCUAGUAUGAUCAAAAUGGUGACAAUGUUCCCAUUAGAUUACAUGCACUUGUGCUGUCUUGGGGUAACCAGGAAGUUCCUAUAUAUUUGGAUGAGGGGCAAAUCACUGGCAACUAGGUUGUCAAGUAAAUCAAUUGAAGAGAUUUCCGUUAAAUUGAAGGGACUUAAGACCCUACACUCCUUCUGAGUUCAGUCGGAAACCCAGGCACCUCUCUGAAAUAGAUCGGUGGAAGGCUACAGAGCUUCGAUAUUUCAUGCUUUAUGCUGGCCCAGUAGUCCUGAAAAAUACCAUUGCCCUUGAAAUUUAUGAAAACUUUAUGUUACUUUCUGUGGCCAUGCAUCUGCUGGUGUCUCCUGGAACAUCAGAGGAAAUGAUAGAUUGCGCUCAGAGAUUGUUAACUUCAUUCGUAACUCACUUUGGGCAGCUAUAUGGGAAAGGUGAAAUCACCUACAAUGUCCAUCAUCUAACACACUUGGCAUCAGAAUACCGUCUGUUUGGUCCCUUAGACAACAUAUCUGCAUUUCCUUACGAGAAUUAUUUAGCGCAACUGAAACACCUAUUGCGCAAGCCUCACUUGCCUUUACAGCAAGUAGUUAAAAGGCUCUCAGAAUCACCUGAUCCGACCUUGGACACAGUGAAGAAAGGACAAAAAUUCAUGCAUCCUCAUUAUGAUGGUCCAUUAAUCUCUUCAUUAAGUUGUGGAGACCAGUACCGUAAGCUUGUCACAGAAAAGUACACAUUAUCAUCUUGUUCUGGGGAUAAUUGUUUUCAAAUUGUAGAUGACAUUGCCAUUGUUGAAAACAUUGUCAAGGUAGGUCAGGAGACUUACAUAAUUUUUCGAAAGUUUACCAAAAAAGAGUCCUAUGGCCAGUAUCCCUUUCCUUCGGCAAACAUUGGGGUAUAUACAGUUUGGGGGUUGUGCAAGUAUGUCGGUGUGACGAGGCUUCAGCACAUUGGCAAAAAGUACAUACUUUAUCCUGACAAAACACAGUUGAUUGCCAUUCCCAUCAUUCACACCAAUUAAAAUGUCCAAAUCAGUUUAUAAGUACAUUUCUUUUUUUUUAGAGUCUUUGAAAAAAUUAAAAAAUGUCCAGAUGGUGCGUUGUGCAGUUCAGCAAUGGUGCAACAGAAACUGUGCCAAACACAUGGGUGGAAGGGGAUAAAGUCUUCUGGCCCCCAUACCCUCCUAAGGACUCUAUUAGGCUGAAUGCAGCCAUCCUGAACAGAGAACAGCCUGGACAGGGAUGGCACACAUAUCAACCUAUCCGGCUCCUCAUAACUCGUGAUAGCCAUGAUGAGGCAGUGAGGAGCCUGGACAGAUAUGUGAAUAAAGACUGUGACACCACUGACAUCCAGUCUGAGGAGGAGAGCCACCAUGGCCUAAAAAGAAAAAGAAGACCAAAUCCAUUGUAUCAUUCCGAUGAGGAGCCCCAGAAUGAGCGGAGAUUCGCCCAAGCCCCCAAAGUUUUACUUCCAGCAAUCCAACUAGCCAGUCAGGACAGCCAACCACCACCACCUCCACGAAUACAUCAAACCCUCCAGUGCCCCAAUUCCCCCAUGUGUUCUUACCCCAAUGUCCCAGCAUUGUUCCCUGGAGAUGAAUUGGCGUUCUCCCCCAUGAAUUUACUCCAGAGGCCAUCUCCUGAAGAUGUGGCCAUGCAAAAACUUCUUACUGCAGUGACAGAGUUGUCCAAGGAGGUGAAGGACCUGCGAGAGGAGUUCAGGCAAUUCCGCCAGUCCUGCAAGUGUGGACAGUCGGAGUCUGUGGGACGGCCACUGGCGGAGCCCUUGGAGCUGCCCCUCCGCACUAUGGAGGCCCUGGACCGUAAGAGAUACUGCUAAACAGCACAAACCGCCAGGCAAUGACCGCUCGUCUCAUCACUAUUGGAGGUGAGGGUCCGCCGUAUGAUGGCACACCUGUUGUCAAAUGAACUGGCUUCUGGACUGAACUGGGCUGGAAAAAAGAACAAGGAGCCUACAAAACAAAAACGUCCGUUUAAAGAGUUGGCACUCUGCCGAUCUAUGUUUGAUGCGCUUACUCAGCAGAUGGGGGCAGAUGCCGUCACCCAAUUCAAUUUUUCCCAAGCUGUGCAAAAGUGGCUGCGCUAUGCGCCAGACCGGACAGGAGGGACUGGACGACAAAAUAAUCAGGCGUCAGAGGACAUUGAAGAGUAAAUAAAGAGUACAAAUAGUUAAAUAAAAAGGCUAAGGUGUGUUCAUUGUUUUAUAGGCCGAUUUCAAAUGUUCCAUUAGCCUACUUAACAUCCUAGCUGUAGAUAAAGCAGGCUAUUUAAUUUAUGGCAUUUAAAAUUAACAUUUAAAAACGAUUGAAAUUCCGUUGAAAUAACGUUGAUCCUUAGUUCAGUUGAAAUUUCAACAGUGUUUCAAUAUUCCUUUAAAUUGAAAUACCAUUGAAAUUCCGUUGAUCUAUGGACAGGAUAUCAACAUUGUUUCUGUUGAGUUGAGUUGCAGACCGAGCCCCUCUCUGGCUGGGAGGUAGGUUUAGGUGUGUCUCUCAGGCUGGAGGCGGAGAUUUUAAUGCACCAGGUGGAGAGGAUCUGGCGAUCAGGGGGGUUGGAGGCACUCACUCACAGGACAGUGAAGAGCGAGCAGUGUGAGAAAGCGAGAUUGAAGAGCUUGGAAAGAGGAGACUGCAGGAAUAAAGCUAAAGACUGAAGAAGGAGCCGGUGAGCUUUUGAGUGGCUGACUACUUAUGGCAUCAAAUGCAAGAUCAAAUGUCCAUAUAUUUAAUGUGUGUUUUAAAAAGUAUUCAAGCUAAAAGUAAUUGGAUAAAACUUGAUUUGUGUGUAUUCAGCGGAGUUAAAAGCUGCUAAAGUUUAUAAGGUUAAAAUCAUUAUUAAAUAGUGUUUUAAAAAUGUAUUUAAUUUAGUCUUGGGAUACUUUAAAUUUGGGUUGUCUUUCUACUUAUUUUUUAGGUUAAUUUCCAGUAGAUUAUAAAUUAAGUAUGUGAUGUUAGGUAUGUGAAUUGAUUAUGGUUUCUUGGGUUAUAUUUCUUUGACCUUCCAUUAGUGUUUGUAUUUCAAGGUUUUUCACCUGGUUUGACCUGGACAAUUUUAAAAAUAAAAAGCAAGAAAGCAAAGAAGUCCGAAUCUUGGUCAUUGAGUGGAAUCCAGUCUACACUUCUUAGCAAGUUGCCCUUUCAAGUGGAGAGCUGCAGUUUGAACCUCACAAAAGUGAGACACUUGACAGUUUCAAUAUUAAAUCAGGGUGCAAAAUGAUGUUGAAUCAACAUCAGAAUUCGACGUUGAUUCAAUGACUUAAUGUUGACAAUGCAAUGUUGAUUUAACAUUGUUUCAAUGACUGUUUGCUGUCUGGGAACACAUUCAGGGAUUGCACUUUCAAUCAUAAAGAUAACUAUAGAUCAAUGUUGUUCCAAUAUUGUUUCCAUCAACAUUAAUAACAUCAGGUUUUCAUCGAUAUGGUAAUGGUGAUUCAACGUUUAUUUUGCACAAUGUUUAUUCAAUGUUGGAUUGCUGUCUGGGAAUAGAU